GAUGAACGCUGGCGGCGUGCCUAAUACAUGCAAGUCGAGCGAACAGACGAGGAGCUUGCUCCUCUGACGUUAGCGGCGGACGGGUGAGUAACACGUGGAUAACCUACCUAUAAGACUGGGAUAACUUCGGGAAACCGGAGCUAAUACCGGAUAAUAUAUUGAACCUCAUGGUUCAAUAGUGAAAUACGGUUUUUCUGUCACUUAUAGAUGGUUCCGCGCCGCAUUAGCUAGUUGGUAAGGUAACGGCUUACCAAGGCGACGAUGCGUAGCCGAACUGAGAGGGUGAUCGGCCACACUGGAACUGAGACACGGUCCAGACUCCUACGGGAGGAAGCAGUAGGGAAUAUGCCGCAAUGGGCGAAAGCAUGACGGAGCAACGCCGCGUGAGUGAUGAAGGUCUUCGGAUCGUAAAACUCUGUUAUUAGGGAAGAACAAAUGUGUAAGUAACUAUGCACGUCUUGACGGUAACUAAUCAGAAAGCCACGGCUAACUACGUG
rnacentral:rRNA from 1 species